CUGAUUAUCGUAGGUAUUGUUUCAUUUUCAGAGUGCAAUGAGUCGCGAACGAGAUAGAUACCGCGGAAAUGGUGUGCCUCCCAAUAUUGCCGAAAUGUAUUCUCUUAAAGUGGAUAAUUUGACGUAUCGCACAUCUGUUGAUGAAUUGAAAAGAACUUUCUCAAAAUAUGGGCGUGUUGGAGAUAUAUACAUUCCUCGUGACCCGAUCAAACAUGAGAGCAGAGGAUUCGCCUUUGUAAGAUACUACGACAAACGUGAUGCACGAGACGCAAUCGAUUAUCUGGAUGGUGCAAAUUUUGAUGGCAGACCUUUGAGAGUAGCCAUGGCUAGGUAUGAUCGCCCAGAUAAUCCAAGACACGAAGCUCGUCGAAGGUACGGUGGUUCAUCCAGAAGACACGAUGAUCGUGACAGACGAAGAUCUAGAUCACGAAGUAGAAGUCGCGAAAGAAGAAGAAGAAGUCGCUCUCGAUCAAGUUCAAAUGAUAGCAAGUCCAAGUCGAAAUCGAAAUCCAGGUCACGCUCGAGAUCUGGAGGCUCUUGAAAGAUGUAAGGAUCAGAUUUUCUAUUACAAGUCUCGGAGUAACUGAUGCUGAGUAGCAGACCAGAAAUUAAGCUGCUGAUAGGUGAUAAUGUUGCGGGUUGAAGCUGAGUAGGAGAAGUAUGGUGCGGGCGGCCAAGCUGAAUAGGCGAAACUGAUGCUGCUUGAAGCAGUAGGUGCUGCUGGAUAAGCAGAUUAAGUCUUCAGUGAUAUUGCUGUUGAUAGUUGCCUGCGAAAGGCGAUUAAAUUAAUUGGAGGAGAGCUGCUUCCAGUGCGCCAAGAUUGUGCAAGGCAAUAAAACGUGACGCGGACACGGCAUGCUGAUUGGAGACAGGCAAAUUUUAUUUGCGUACUGGAUUCUAAAAAUUUUGGACUAGUUGCUUUUGUUAAUGAUAAUUUACGUUUUACAUUUAACAUAA